AUGAGUGGACGUUACUCGCAGAAUAAGCACCGGCUAACUCUGUGCCAGCAGCCGCGGUAAUACAGAGGGUGCGAGCGUUAAUCGGAUUUACUGGGCGUAAAGCGUGCGUAGGCGGCUUUUUAAGUCGGAUGUGAAAUCCCCGAGCUUAACUUGGGAAUUGCAUUCGAUACUGGGAAGCUAGAGUAUGGGAGAGGAUGGUAGAAUUCCAGGUGUAGCGGUGAAAUGCGUAGAGAUCUGGAGGAAUACCGAUGGCGAAGGCAGCCAUCUGGCCUAAUACUGACGCUGAGGUACGAAAGCAUGGGGAGCAAACAGGAUUAGAUACCCUGGUAGUCCAUGCCGUAAACGAUGUCUACUAGCCGUUGGGGCCUUUGAGGCUUUAGUGGCGCAGCUAACGCGAUAAGUAGACCGCCUGGGGAGUACGGUCGCAAGACUAAAACUCAAAUGAAUUGACGGGGGCCCGCACAAGCGGUGGAGCAUGUGGUUUAAUUCGAUGCAACGCGAAGAACCUUACCUGGUCUUGACAUAGUAAGAACUUUCCAGAGAUGGAUUGGUGCCUUCGGGAACUUACAUACAGGUGCUGCAUGGCUGUCGUCAGCUCGUGUCGUGAGAUGUUGGGUUAAGUCCCGCAACGAGCGCAACCCUUUUCCUUAUUUGCCAGCACUUCGGGUGGGAACUUUAAGGAUACUGCCAGUGACAAACUGGAGGAAGGCGGGGACGACGUCAAGUCAUCAUGGCCCUUACGACCAGGGCUACACACGUGCUACAAUGGUCGGUACAAAGGGUUGCUACCUAGCGAUAGGAUGCUAAUCUCAAAAAGCCGAUCGUAGUCCGGAUUGGAGUCUGCAACUCGACUCCAUGAAGUCGGAAUCG
rnacentral:rRNA from 1 species